GGCCCACCAAACCAAUGAUCCAUAAGGGCUCUUAGCGGAGAGGCCCUGAGAGGGAAUCUGAGACACUAUUCCCAGCCCUACGGGGUGCAGCAGUUAGGAAUAAUUUACAAUGCGCGCAAGCGUGAUAAUUUGAGCCAGAGUGUUUUUCAAUUGAAAGACUUUUGUGAAAUGUAAAAAGUUUCACGAAUAAGGACUGGGUAAGACUAGUGCCAGCCGCCGCGGUAAUACUAGCGGUCCAAGUCGCAGCCAUUUUUAUUGGGUCUAAAACAUCCGUAGCUUGCUUGAUAAGUCUUCUGUGAAAUUUUACGUCUAAAACGUAGAGCGCGCAGAAGGUACUGUCAAGCUAGAGACCGGAAGACGUAAGAAGUACAUUCAGAGUAGCGGUUAAAUGUGUUAAUCCUGGAUGGACUAACAAGAGCGAAGGCAUCUUACGAGGACGGUUCUGACAGUAAGGGAUGAAAGCUAGGGGCGCAAAUGGGAUUAGAUACCCCAGUAGUCCUAGCCGUAAACACUGCACACUAAACAUUAGUACCUCUUCGAGAGGUAUUAGUGCUGAAGGGAAGCCGGAGAGUGUGCUACCUGGGAAGUAUAGUCGCAAGGCCGAAACUUAAAGGAAUUGGCGGGGAGACACUACAACGGGUGACGCGUGCGGUUCAAUUAGAUUAUACACCGUGAACCUCACCAGGAGCGACAGCAGAAUGAAGGUCAGUCUGAAGGGCUUACCUGACACGCUGAGAGGAGCUGCAUGGCCGACGUCAGCCUGUGCCGUGAGGUGACCUGUUAAAUCAGGUAACAGGCAAGACCCACAU
rnacentral:rRNA from 1 species